AUGGGGAGAUAUUGGUCAAAAGGUACAACUUUCAAUUAUAAUAUGAAUAAAUUCUGAGGAUCUAAUGUACAGUGUGGGACUACAGCUAAUAAUGCUGUAUUGUGUACUUAAAAUUUGCUAACAGAGUGGCCCUUAGGGUUCUCGCUAUAUACACAUAGAGAGACACACACAAAGUAUGUGAGGAGUUGGAUAAGCCGAGUUAACUUAAUGGUGGGAAAUAUUUCACGAUGUAUACCUAUAUCAAAAUCACCACGUUGAGCACUUUAAGUAUAUAUAAUUUUGUCAAUUAUAUGCCAAUAAAGCUGGAAAAAAAGAACUAAAUCACUCAUUUUAGAGAUUAAGAAACAAAGGCUCAGAGAAACCAAGAUCUACCUAAGAUCACACAGUUAAUGGUUGUAUUUUUUAUUUUUUGAAGAGCCAGUCUUGCUAUUUCAUAUCCUAGGUUUCUUAUACUGCUGCUGAAAAAUUGAUAAUCUUAUUUUUAAAAUCUCAUUCAAAUUCAAUCUAGUAAGCUCUCCUCUAACAUACUUCUGGGUUAAUGUCACAUGAUAAGACUAGAUUUCAUCAUUCUCAAAAUUGCAGGUGAUUUAUAAUUACAAAAUGAUGUUUACAGCUUGCUUCUUGAAUACUUAGGAAAAAGAAAAGCCAUUUAGUUAUUUCAAAUGCAUUUAUUUUGUUGGGAAAUUGAUAACAUGUCCUAGUUCAUGACGUUUACAAACAGCUCUUUAUGUUGAAAGUGUAACCAAUGUUUCUAUUUUAUUUAUAUCAAUGUUAAUUUCAUUUCUUGAAGCUUUCUAACACCUACUGAGCAAUUUUCUUUAAUGGAGACUGAAAAUGUUAAAAAGGAAAUUGAACAAUAAAUUUAUUAAGUAAAAUGAGUUACUCUAAAUGGAAUAACUAUUUUGUUAAAGGAAGAAUGUUCAGGCAAUAAUUUGUAAAUUAUAUUAAGACUUAUGCUUAUAGAGGAAGGUGCACGCACUCCUGGCUGGCAGUGCUUUGAGUCCACCAGAAGGGAAAAGUCCUGCAGAGAGGGCCAGAUUUUCAACCUAUUUCCUUCCAUCCCUUUCAGAUAACUCUUGACAUUCUGGUUGCAGUUACCCAAGCAAACUAUCCAUUAACUGGGUCUAUAUUUUUAAGAGAGAGAAAGGUCUGUAAUUUAUGAUCGAAGUCAAUGGCUCUAAACUGAGGUUCCUUGUAUUUUUUGGUCAUCUUGGCACCCAGAUAUGUAAUGAGUUCACAUCUCUCCAAAAAUUGGUCCAUCUUCUUCUUAUACUUCCUUUUUGUAUAUUCAGAACCAUUGGGAUUGUAGGCUGCAGAAAAUUUCACAGAACUGUAAAUGUUUUCUGUUAGGUUAGUGAGUCAUUAAAUUAAAAAGAAAGAGAACUACAUGUGUGAGACAGUUGCACAGCUAUAGCUGAGAAGAUAUUCAAAUCACACGUAAGAUUUAGGGAUUAAUCCAUUUUAGAUCAUAAUUGCCUCUAUUCACCUUUCUCUGUGGCAUGGAUUAUGGAGAGCCGAUUAUAUUACUUGUAAUCCUUGCUUUAAAAACUAGAAACUCAAUUUUGAUAUUUUCAUCAAAAUAUUUGCUAUCAACACACACACACACACACACACACACACACCAAUGCAAACAACCAAUCCAGCUCAACAAUCCUAUGCAUUUAUCACGUAUACUACAAUUAAUGUUAAAUUAGUGCCAAGUAUCAUGUCAUUAAAGAAGACAUACCUUUUAGGUGAAAAGCUAUAAAUAGCAGUGCAGAUCUCUUUACACUUAAGAAGGGGAAUUUGGGCUUUAAACAUCCUGCUGCAUUCAUUGCUUUAAUUAGUGAAGUUGCAAUACCCUGCAGGUAGGGAACAAUGUAAAUCAUAUGUAUGUUUGAAUUUGGUUUCUUCUCUUAGUGGCAAAUAGAUAAAGAGGCUAUUCUUUGCCUCUAAUAGCCUCCUGGGGCUUAUAAAGGUGGUUAGAUGCCCACUUAACCAACAAGAAAGGAACACAAAGUACAUUUGAUUAGGAAGAAUGAAAAUUACAAAUUGGCUGAAUGUCAGGAAGGUGAUGGAUACAUGGGCUUCAUUACACAAUUCUUUCUAUUUUUAUAUUUGACAUUUUCCAUAACCAAAUGUUAAAGACAAAAGAAGGGGUUCCUGGGCUCUGAGUUGUCUCGGCCCAUUUUCUACUUCCAUUGCCAGAGCUGACCAGAUUGCCUCUGCUAUCAGGACUCCUGACCACCUGGCAAGGAAUUCCAGAGACCACAGUUGUCACUACGGUAGAUUCUGAAGCCCUGAGCGGGCAGAGAAGAUGUGAGGCCCUCCUGGUGAAAUGUGGCCUUUUAUGAGAAUACUCCUCUAUGGGUGAGCCUCAUCUUGCCUUUUGAUACUAAACCAGAUUGAAGGCUCACUAUCUAGGCAAGUCAAAAAAAAUGAUGUGGCUAAGAAUUUGUGAGAAAAGUAUGAAAUUAUUUAUGCCCCAGGCAUUAAUUUUAUAGAAUUAAAAAAAAAACUUUUAAAAUAGUGGUUGAUUAUUAGUGAAUUUUAUUCUGUGUAAAAAGAGUUAUAUUUAGAUAAAUAAAGUGUGACUUGAGUAGCAUUUGGGGGCAUUUGCCCCUAGAUUUGGGGCAAAAUAUGAUUUUGGUGGUUUAGCUGUGGUGCUUUUGCAACUCAACACUUUUGAGCAGUGACUAAACCUCUCAGAGACUGAAUCUUCAUAUUACAAAUUUAAAAAUAAGAAAAUUUAAAUAAGAAUCUAACCACAAGUCAACCGUAAAUAAUUUCAUGACAAUCUACUCUCUCUUCAUUUUCCUGCAGGUAUUUGGGGAUUAGCUACAGAACCAAGGGUUUUUCUCACUUCUUCUUUUCACAACCACCCAUAAUCAAAAUAGGUUAAGAGUGGAUUUACAGCUUAAAAAUCAGAAAACUCUGCCUUCAGCUUCAUUGUUACCAAAAUAAAAAUUGUUAAAAAACAGAUCGUUGUACUCUACUAAUAUAUGAACAUAGACAACCAUGUAACUGAACCUGUUCCAGAUAUCCAGGCAAAGGAAGACUUGUGAGGUGUAUGGGCUCCUUUAAUGGGGGCAGUUUGUAUGGAAGCUUCUGAUUCCAGUAUUUCUGCGGCAACCUAAGAACACAAAGUUCAUCAGAUGGAUGCUCGCACAUAUACUCACCGUGAGUACAUAGGGAUGUGAAUGUACAGGACACGACUAAGAGGUACAGUUCAGCAGCUGGUUUUCUCCACUGGGGAGAACGUGACAAGGGAGAAGGUCAGAGCUUGGAGCUCCUAGAGUACACAGACACAUUUAAUGAUGGUUCCCUGUACAGAAGCUAUGAUGACUCCCUGUGGACACUUGGGCAUGUCGGGAAGAAGCAGACUAUCGGGACUGUAAGGACCUUGCAAUCAUCAGGAACAAGACAGAUUCCUUCAGCUGUUGACUUGAACUCACUGUGACAUAUUGAGUGCCUGCUGAGCCAGAAGCAGCUGCCACUGGGAGGAAAGGGGAGGCUGCCACGGAGGGAAUGCAGAGACCCCCCUUCUUUGCAGUGGGCCAGAUUGCAGAGCAUGGGAAAUAUUCCAUUUGGUUCUCCUUCUUAGAGAGGAUGUGCUGUGGAAGGGCUUGUUGUAAAGACUGAUGCACAUCUAGAGCACUUGUUCACUCGAUAAGACAAGCUGCCAUAUUGGAAAGGACUACAUGGGAAGAACUGAAGGUGGUCUCUGGGCCAACAGCCAGCAAGGAACUGAGGCCCUUAACCCAACAAUCCUCAAGGAACAAAAUCUUGUCAACAAUACAUGAACGAAUGUGGUAGUAGAUUCUUUCUCAGUUGGGCCUUCAGGUAUGUCUGCAUAUAUUUAUUCACCAUUUGAACUUUCUUAAUGACUUCAUUCCACACCCACCAUUUGCUGUGAAAUCCAUCAAUCACAUACCAGUUCUGAUGUUGUUCUUGAUAAUAUUGCCUAAUCUCAUUAAUAUUUUUGCGGUGUUUUGAGUUUUUGACUGCCAUAAUUUGUGUGCUAUUGUGCAGUGGAUAAGGCAAACUAAUAACGAAACAGAAUGAAUGGAAAAAGUUGUAAAAAACAUACUUGUUUCCUGGAUGAUUAAAGUUCAUUUCUUUAUCAUUGCUUUCAUCACACACAUUACCUUGGUUCCUUUUUUUUUUCCAGGAACAAUCUUUUGAAAAUCUCCUUGGAAGGCACAUCCAGCUCAAAGAUGACCAUGGGAAUGAUUGACCUAGAUUCCAGGAGGCUGAUUUGAUACUUAGUUACAGGAUAGCCAUCGAUGACAACACUAAUAAGGGGAAACAUGAAAAUAAUUCCAGAUUUCUUUUCUCUCAUACCUUCCUUCCUGUUUUCUAGAAGCAGUCUAUCUCUUUAGGAGUAGCCCCAUGGCCUUCCUUGUGUAACUUGAUUUAUUGUCUUUGUACUUUGCCCUCUUUAUCUCUAUAUUUUUAACUUCAGUCAGCCCAUGAGCCAGGUGUAGGGCAGCAUACAUACAGACACAGCUCUGAAUUCAUACACUUAGCAUCACAGAGCUAGGCUUUGGCAGAAUUCAAGAGAACACACAUAAUACCUUGAGCAUUGUGUUAUUCAAUUGGCGCUAUUACUUUAAGAAAUGAAACAGUGCAAAGAGUAUAGGUUUCAGAGGCAGACAGACUUAGAUUUGAGACCUCGUUUGACCUCUCUGAGUGCCAGCUUUUAGUAAAAUAGGGGAGAUGAUAUUUAACCCUUACAGUUGUCUUAAAGACUUAUAGAUCUAGUAUGUAAAGCAACUAGAACAGGAACUGGCACAACGAAUAGUAUGUUAGUAAGAGAUUAAGCAAAUAUGGGAAAACAGUUGUGCUCUAAGCUUGCUUUUAUACUAAAGUUCUGUGGGGAGGCCGGCGAGUGGGAGGAGAGACAGGGAGUUGGUGAGAGUAGCCCUGUGAUAUCUGAGAAAGAAUGUUCCAUCAGGACCCAUCAUGCCCCUGAGCAGAAAUGACAGAGAAUUUAAGUUAGUCCAACAGUCUGAGAUAAUGAGAGUAUUACUAUCAAACUCAGAUGAGGAAUAAAGGCUGUCCACAAAUUCUGGGAGGAGUGACCCCCAAGGUCUGGAAACUCCCUCUGAGGUGGGAGCAGGCUGGGCCUGCCAGCUGGUGGUCUUCAAGAGGGGCUGGUUUAGAGGAAGUCACAGGACCCCCUCACUCCGUGCUCUGUGGCCAAGUCUCUAGGCAGUAGUUCUAAGUUCCAUGGCAGAGAGAACUGUAAAUUAAUGUAGCCAGGCAAACCUAAUAGAGAACGUUAUGGGAGUGCCAUUGAUGUUUUGAGGUUUUUUUAAUGGAGAGUAGCUCAAUUUCUUUGCUUGUGAAAGGUUGCUUGAGUGACCGUCAGGAUUAGAAACAUUCAGGGUGACUAGGCAGUCACUAUCCUGGUGUUAAGAUGAAAUAAAACAUUUGUGACUCAGGGUUGUGUUCACUGAGAUCCCUCGCAUGCAAAGCUAAACACCAGGGAGGAGGUAACUCAGUUUGUGUAAGUCCCAGGGCCUUCCCUGGGGGAAAAAUCUGACACCCCAGAAUCUGCUCUUCUGUAACUGAAAUUAAGAGAACCGGCCAAGGACUUGGUUAAAGAGCAGAGGCAGGGAAGGGCAUAAAGGCUCCUACUGUAAGACAACUGUAAGUAAAUUGGUGGGAUUCUAGGUCAGUGACCUGGGCUCAUGAGCAGGGCCUUGGCUUGCCCUGGCUUCUAUAACUGGGUCUGGCCGGUGGCUGUGUUGGGAGAGUCAUGGUUGAGCAGAGAAGUGUAAACUAAAGAGAGAGCUCAGGAAAGGGACCUUCCUGUCCAGAUGUAGCAUUAAGGGAGGGGCACUGCUACCUGUGCAGAGAGCUGGGCCAGUGCGAGACCAUCUCUGUUAGACCAGUACCAUCUGGGGGGCAGGGGAAGGCCACUCCUCCAUCAUUCCAUGGGGCAGUGAGAAGGUCUACUAGGCUCUGGAAGUCACACUGGCCUCCUUUGUCAGCAGUGUAAGGCCAGAAACUUUUAGACGAUACACAGGUUGCUACAGGGAAUGCAGUGGCCAGCUUGCUAUUCUGGCAUAUAAGUGUUCAAGCCAAGUUUUAGCCUGACAGAAAAUUAAAAAUAUAUAACCAUGUAGGUGCCUAAGGUUUGAGAAGUAGAUCUCACCCUUUACAAGAGCUUUAAACCUUGUUGAAGAUAAGUGUUUUAAAUUCUGUGAGUGAUUUCUUGAUUUAACUCCCUCCCCACCGGCCACUCCCACUUACCCCACAGUAUUACAUAUACUUUCCAUCAGAGAUAUUUCUAAGGCUUGAAUAGCCAGUUCAUCAGGUGCUGUCAUUCCUUUAUGAAGAUGCCAAUUUAACAUGAGCGCCAGCUCUGUUUCUGGUUGGCUGUUUAAUACAUAACGCAUCGCCUCUCCUAUUGACAAGCGCUUUAAGCCAUAUUCACUUGAAAUUUUUUUGGCAACUGAAAAAGGUUAAAACUUUAAACUUACUCCAUUUCACAAAUUCAUCAGUCAACCUUAUUUUUAAUUUCUGGUUAAUUGAUGUCCACAGUGAGCUAAUCUUCAUAUUCCCUGAAGAAAUUUUGAAAGUCAAAAUUGUUACAUUUUAUUGAACUAAUACUGUCAAAGGUUAAUCAUUAUGAAUAUUUCAGGUAUGUGGCUAAUGAGCCAACUCCGUGGGUUUUUUUCAUAACCAAACCAAUAUUUAAGUGUUUUCUUCCUUCUGCACAAGGUAGCAAAAUUUUUGAGAGCUUUACAUGGCAUCAUAUGUGUACUAUUUAUAUUUGGAAUUAUGUCCAAAAUAAUAAUCUAAUACUCUAAUAAUCUAAUACUCCUGUGUACUAUUUCUAUUUGGAAUUAUGUCCAAAAUAAUAAUCUAAUACUCCUGUGUCACCGAACACAUGAAACUAUAUGUUUCCUCAUCUAUCUAUUUAUGGAAUCCAUGCUUCAAUCAGAA